rnacentral:tRNA from 3 species
GCCGAAGUGGUGGAAUUGGUAGACACGCACGCUUGAGGGGCGUGUGGGGCAACCCGUGGGAGUUCAAAUCUCCCCUUCGGCACCA